GACGUAGGGCGCGAGCGUUGUCCGGAUUUAUUGGGCGUAAAGAGCUCGUAGGCGGUUUGUCGCGUCGGAUGUGAAAUUUUAGGGCUCAACCCUGACAUUGCAUCCGAUACGGGCAGGCUAGAGUUCGGUAGGGGAGACUGGAAUACUUGGUGUAGCAGUGAAAUGCGUAGAUAUCAAGUGGAACACCAGUGGCGAAGGCGAGUCUCUGGACAUUUCCUGACGCUGAGGCACGAAAGCCAGGGGAGCAAACGGG
rnacentral:rRNA from 1 species